rnacentral:rRNA from 1 species
UACCACCCUUGUAUGUUUGAUGUUCUAACUUAGACCCAUUAUCUGGGUUGAGGACAGUGCCUGGUGGGUAGUUUGACUGGGGCGGUCUCCUCCCAAAGAGUAACGGAGGAGCACGAAGGUGGGCUAAUCACGGUUGGACAUCGUGAGGUUAGUGCAAUGGCAUAAGCCCGCUUAACUGCGAGAAUGACGGUUCGAGCAGGUGCGAAAGCAGGUCAUAGUGAUCCGGUGGUUCUGUAUGGAAGGGCCAUCGCUCAACGGAUAAAAGGUACUCCGGGGAUAACAGGCUGAUACCGCCCAAGAGUUCAUAUCGACGGCGGUGUUUGGCACCUCGAUGUCGGCUCAUCACAUCCUGGGGCUGAAGUCGGUCCCAAGGGUAUGGCUGUUCGCCAUUUAAAGUGGUACGCGAGCUGGGUUUAGAACGUCGUGAGACAGUUCGGUCCCUAUCUGCCGUGGGCGUUGGAAGAUUGAAGGGGGCUGCUCCUAGUACGAGAGGACCGGAGUGGACGAACCUCUGGUGUUCGGGUUGUGUCGCCAGACGCAUUGCCCGGUAGCUAAGUUCGGAAUUGAUAAGCGCUGAAAGCAUCUAAGCGCGAAGCGAGCCCUGAGAUGAGUCUUCCCUGAUACUUUAAGUAUCCUAAAGGGUUGUUCGAGACUAGAACGUUGAUAGGCAGGGUGUGUAAGCGUUGUGAGGCGUUGAGCUAACCUGUAC